rnacentral:rRNA from 1 species
UGGGGAAUAUUGCACAAUGGGCGCAAGCCUGAUGCAGCCAUGCCGCGUGUGUGAAGAGGCCUUGGGUUGUAAAGCACUUUCAGCGGGGAGGAAGGCGUUAAGGUUAAUAACCUUGGCGAUUGACGUUACCCGCAGAAGAAGCACCGGCUAACUCCGUGCA